AAUGUAAGAGGGGUCACGUGACCAAAAAGCAGGCCAUACUAAUGUAUGACAGGUCCUAUGACUGCUUGGCAGGCUGUGCUAAUAUAAGAUGGGUCAUGUGACCGCUAGGCAGGUCGUAUCAAUGUAAGAUGGGUCACGUGACCAACAAGCAGGCCAUACUAAUGUAUGACAGGUCCUAUGACUGCUUGGCAGGCUGUGCUAAUAUAAGAUGGGUCAUGUGAGCGCUAGGCAGGUCGUAUCAAUGUAAGAUGGGUCACGUGACCAACAAGCAGGCCAUACUAAUGUAUGACAGGUCAUAUGACUGCCGGGCAGGCUGUGCUAAUAUAAGAUGGGUCAUGUGAGCGCUAGGCAGGUCGUAUCAAUGUAAGAUGGGUCACGUGACCAACAAGCAGGCUAUACUAAUGUAUGACAGGUCCUAUGACUGCUUGGCAGGCUGUGCUAAUAUAAGAUGGGUCAUGUGAGCGCUAGGCAGGUCGUAUCAAUGUAAGAUGGGUCACGUGACCAACAAGCAGGCCAUACUAAUGUAUGACAGGUCCUAUGACUGCCGGGCAGGCUGUGCUAAUAUAAGAUGGGUCAUGUGACCGCUAGGCAGGUCGUAUCAAUGUAAGAUGGGUCACGUGACCAACAAGCAGGCCAUACUAAUGUAUGACAGGUCCUAUGACUGCUUGGCAGGCUGUGCUAUAGAAGUCCUUGUACAACACUCCAGUCCACCCACCAAUUUAGGCACCGUGAGUGUGACUUGCGUGUAAAUGUGAUGGAGAUAAGCCUGCAUUCUCAGCACUGAGCCAUGCAGGACACUCCAGCCAUAGAACAGCUGUGCCACUCUUACUCAGAAGGUUCAGCUUCUGCUGGCACGCUGCCCCAUGCAGAUCCCUGGCCUGCUAUACCUCUCUUAUGCUUCUGUCCCCUGUGUACAUGGUUUGCCAUGAAGACGUGGCUCCCAUAAUGCCUGGAGACAGAUGGCCCAGCGCUUCAGGCAGCCGCUUUUUCACUGUCGCCACAGCUCUCUGCUAUGACAGAGCAGUUUUUCGCCUUUGCUUAUCUCACUUCCACUAUCUCACCCCCCCCCCCCAAAUUAACAAAAAGUUCUACAGAUCCAUUUCUAAAGACCGACCAGUCCUGUUUAAACCUUCCUGUCCAGGCUAAAGUUUCCAGCCCAGCUGUUGUUUUUAGUAGAUUAGCUAAGAUGGUGAUUAUCAGCGGCACGAUGAACAGGCCCAUGCUCAUGUAUUUCUACCCAAACUCCAGUGGAGCCUCUGACCCCCCCACUCCUUUAUGAGUGCC